rnacentral:rRNA from 1 species
UACGGAGGUGGCGAGCGUUGUUCGGAAUUAUUGGGCUUAAAGCGCGUGUAGGCGGGACGGCAAGUGUCGGGUGAAAGCCCUCGGCUCAACCGAGGAAUGGCCUGGCAAACUGCCGUCCUUGAGGCAGGCAGAGGUGGCUAGAACGACGGGUGGAGCGGUGAAAUGCGUAGAUAUCCGUUGGAAUGCCAGCGGCGAAAGCAGGCCACUGGGCCUGUCCUGACGCUGAGACGCGAAAGCGUGGGGAGCAAACAGG